UGGGGAAUUUUGGACAAUGGGGGCAACCCUGACCCAGCGACGCCGCGUGGGUGAUGAAGGCCUUCGGGUCGUAAAGCCCUGUCAGGAGGAAAGAACGAUCUUGUGGUAAAUACCCGCGAGAUGUGACGGUACCUCCGAAGGAAGCACCGGCCAAUUCCGUGCCAGCAGCCGCGGUAAGACGGAAGGUGCAAGCGUUGCUCGGAAUCACUGGGCGUAAAGGGUGCGUAGGCGGCUUCUUAAGUCUGGUGUGAAAGCCCAGGGCUCAGCUCUGGAAGUGCACUAGAUACUGGGGAGCUUGAGUACCGGAGGGGAGAGUGGAAUUCCUGGUGUAGCGGUGAAAUGCGUAGAUAUCAGGAGGAAUACCGGUGGCGAAAAGCGACUCUCUGGACGGUUACUGACGCUGAGGCACGAAAGCGUGGGGAGCAAACAGGAUUAGAUACCCCAGUAGUCCCUGAGCGGGCUGGCAAGGCGCAU
rnacentral:rRNA from 1 species